UACGGAGGGUGCAAACGUUGCUCGGAAUUAUUGGGCGGAAAGCGCACGUAGGUGGUCUAUCAAGUCAGGUGUGAAAGCCCUGGGCUCAACCCAGGAAGUGCACUUGAAACUGACAGGCUUGAGUAUGGAAGAGGGUCGCGGAAUUCCCGGUGUAGAGGUGAAAUUCGUAGAUAUCGGGAGGAACACCAGUGGCGAAGGCGGCGACCUGGGCCAAUACUGACACUGAGGUGCGAAAGCGUGGGGAGCGAACCGG
rnacentral:rRNA from 1 species